AUUUCUUCAAUUAGUAUGGGAAGUAUUACAAGAUGUUACAUUAAUUAUAUUAGAAAUUGCAGCCAUAGUAUCAUUGGGCCUUUCUUUUUACCGGCCUCCAGGAGGGAAUGAUGCACGUCUAACAACUAUCUGAAGAUAAAAAAUAAAAUAAACUUAAGUAAUAUGUGGACAGCAAGCUGUGUGGAUGAAGUGAGUGAAGGGAAGACCAAUACUGGGAAGUCAUUUGUUUUAGGAUGGCCCAUUGUCAACUUCCUUGCCACUUUCAGGGGGCCAAGAGGUUGAAUCAGGAUGCCCAGCUUCAGAGGAGCUUUGGGCACUUGCUCAUUUGCUCACAAAUCUUCAAGUUGGUUCCCCUUGGCAUCUUUGAGGGAAAUCCUAUGGGUAGCAGCAGCCUUUAGGCUCUUAACUGCAUCAGGGGCAUUAUGGGUGCUUGAAAGAAAAUGGCACAGCCCCUGACAGUUACUCCACAUCAAUUCCAUAUUUUCUGUGUCCUGAUGGCUUUGCAACCCUGAACUAUUGACUAGCCAUGUGUCCUUCACACACAUUUCUUUCAUUCGGACCCACCUUUUUUUUUGGCUAACUAGGUAGAAGGUGCUGUAAUAAUUUAUGACAGCUGGAGCUUCAUCAGUGUGUUGGGAUCUCUGUCAGAAGAACAUGGAAAGGACAGCAUGGGGGGCUUAAGUUUAGUGAGACCAAGUAGGACUGGGAUGAAGGGCACCAUUGCUGCUCCCUUAAAAUAUCUGCAUUACAGCAAAAUUUGGAACACAGAGGCCUUUGGAGAUAGGAUGGGAUGAGAGCUAUUACCCUCAGCCCAUGAGGGAGUGGCCCACCAACAGGUCAUGAGUAUCCUUAUGGAAUCAAAAUGAGCCACCUUCGAGACACUUCAUUCCUGACACAGGGAUCAAAGGACUCACCAUCCCCUUUGGACUUCCAGGAAUCCUUCCUCAUGGAGCAGCUGCCCCGGGAGAUGCAGUGCCAGUUUAUACUGAAGCCCAGCCGCCUGGCCAGGAGCCAACCACUGACCGAUCCCAGCCAGAAGAUGCUCAAAAGAUCUAAAAUAAAUUGGCCCUUUUGGCGAGGCUCCAGUACUCACUGUGACAACAUACCAACACCUUCACCAUCCUCCAUGCCACAGCAGCUCUUUGGGGUUUCGCUGUCUGAAAUCUGUGAGAAUGACAACCUGCCUAAACCUCUUUUGGUGAGUCUCCCUUCAUUCUGCCCAGCUCCAUACCACAAAAGGUAAAAGUGUUUUUGGAAGGAAGAACAUGACAGCCUAGCAAUUUACUUUGAAAUUGGUGUUCAGUGUCUGGUGAGUAGGGAGGUCAUUCCAGGAAGGGGAAAACAAGGGAAUGAGCCAGAGAAGAGUGUAGAACAAUGCCCAAACUCUCAUCUUCACCUUAUCUUUCCCCUCUGUGCAAGAAAGGGGCAAAACAUCAAGAACAAAAUGCAAGUGAUGCUUCCUUUACCACAUCCUAGUUCCCCUGGAAUGAGGGUGAGCAGAGAAUGGGUGAACCAGAUCCCAGGAUGGCUUUUAUAUGGCCAGUUCAAGAGACAGAUGGCCACAAAGAAAGGAGUCAGAGAGAUUCUUGGAAGUUGCUUUGAAGUUGAGGUUUUAAAAUAUGCCUCAAGUAUGGACUUAGACACUUGCUAUUUAACUCAGAUGAAGUCUCUUCAUCUCUCUGGGCCUCCACUUCCCCAAAUGUAAAGUGAAAAGACUGGGCUUGAUGACCUUAUGUCCCUUCCAGCUCCAAAUCUAUGAUCCUGUAAUCGAACCAAACAGAACAGGCUAACUAGCCUGAUCUUAAGACUCUAAGGAAUGAGCUAAGGGAGCCUGAGAACUAGGGAUCUGGGAGGGAGUCACAAGCAACUUGAAGCUAAGUGGUACAAUGCAUAGAGCACUGGACCUGGAGUCAGGAAGACGUGAGUUCAGAUCCAGAUGUAAGUGCCAUAACCCCUUUUACUACAAAAGCUCUCGAUCUCAUCUGCUUCUCUACUAUAAUUCCUGCCCUGAACAAAAAGUUGGACCAUUUGACCUUUAAGGACACUUCUAUGAUUCUGAAUGAUCUCUCUUGCUGAAAUCUCUCAGAACACCCGAGGUCUCUCUUCCCCAUUUACUGUCUUACAACUGGUAUUACUAUAGAUGAACGUGCCAUGGAAGGGGGUGAGGUUCUAUUAUGAAGGUCUUUGCAAAGGGGCAGGAACUGUCUUCUAAAUGACUCUUAGUAAAUUCAUGUGUCUGUGCUGGGUUUCUGUACAGAUGUCUCUCAGACCUGCUCUUCUACCCUGGAGCUAACUUCCUGUUCAAUACUUUGUUCACAAAGCUACUUGAACUAGAAUAUCCACUGUGUACUCCCAUUGCCCAUGCCCCAGACACUGAUCCUACCCUUUUAUGGUGAUGGAGAAGGUAGGGCAACAACAUUGCCCUUGGCUCUUCAAGCAACUUGGUCAGCCUUUGAGGUUGGUGGUGGGGGGGUAGUUUUCAUCGUCAUCAUGUCACUCACAGUGGCUCUUUGGAGCCUUCCCUUUUCCAAAUUCUUUCCAAUGACUUUGUCUGACCAUUGCCCUGAGUAGCCUGUCACCUGAUCCCCUUUAUUAAAGCCCAGGAGUUUUAAAGCAGAACAAGUCAGAGAUUUUCAAAUUCCAUUACUAAGCCCUGGGAAUAGAAAGAUAAAAAUCUUGGGAUCAAGUCCUGUUUCUGGCUCAAACUAAGUGCGUGACUGAGCAACUCACCAAAUCUCUCAGCAUUCUCAGCAUCUUUUUCUAAGACUAUAAGUUCAAUCUUCCUUCUUUCUCUUUCUUUGUUUCUUUCUUUUCUUUGUUUCUUU